CAUGAGAGGAAAAGAGAUGGUCUUAUUAACUUUUCAUGGAUAUUGGAGGAUGAGAAGUUCUCCUCUCAAUUUGGAACAUGGAACACGCAUCGCCAGUCAUUCAAAGCCAGUGAGCUGACAUAGAAAGGUUAUCGUAGUUGUGAGUGACAAAGUGCAGUUUUAGCAAAUCCACAAGAUGGCAGCCAUUAUCGCUCAAAUGACUCGUGCAAAUCGGGAGCGAAAGAAAAAGAAACGCAUCGAGAUCAGCAAAUGUAUGUACGACUUACCACCGUUUGACAACCACUUCGAAGCCCAGUUGCACAACAAAUACUUUCGUGCGAAAAAAGCCACAGCUGAGAAGUCGAAUGCGCUUAAAUUCCACGAGGCUGUGCGAAAUCGCUUGGACGACCUGGUCGAUCAAGCGGAGGAAGGGCACGAAUUUAGAUGGAGGAAUGAAAUCCAUUCACAUUUUCUGACAAGGCUUGCCAUAUCCAGCCAAACGAUUUCCUCUUACAAUAUUCAGAGUAUAAUUCGCAGAGUCAAUUCCAAAGAUUCUAGGAGUCAAGGAUAAGCUGUGUUUCUUUGAAUAUUAUGAUUGCAUGUUGUGGCCAUGUUCCAAGGACAUGAGACAUGGAUUUUAUGGGAUCUUGUCAGAAAAUGAUUGCCGUUCUCAUUCAGCCUGUUUUGCCUGGAGGUCGGAAUCCUCGCCUUCUCCCUUGGUCUGGUUCCCACACUGAUGCUUGUGGUCGAGGCAACGUGGCCUUCGACCCCGAUCUACGAGAUGACCAAUAAUAUCUCAUCCCCAAUAUCAUCAUUAUGAUCGUCUGAAGCUGUUUUUGUGGCCUUGAAUUAGAUCUUGGAGUGAGAUUUCUGGCGAUAAA